CUAACUAUGCUCUCUCUCACUCCAUCAAUCUCUCUUCUUCUAAAUUCUAUCAAGCUUGUCUUUCACCUCAUCUCUGAUAGUCACCAUGGUCUCAUAUCUAAUAGCCACCAUAAUCGACAUUCUCAAUGCUUAAGGUAAUUUCCUCAAUUCAUUUCAUUAAUUUGAAAUUUAUGAUGUUUAGGUUUUAGAAUUGGUGAAUUAUUUAUAGGAUGUGCUAAAUUAAAGAUAAGGGAAAAUUAAUUUAGUUCAUUCAAUUUAGUGCACACCCUUAAUAGUUUUUGAUAGAUUUAAAGCAUGCGGACCUUGAAAAGAUGCAUUUUUUUUAAUUUUUUUCUAAUUUUAAAUUAACUCAUCUAAGGACCGAGAGGAUCUAAGAAUUUAAUGAUGAAAAGAAUGAAAAUGUUGUUGUUCUUUUAUGGGAUGUUAUUUUGGUGGGACAUAUUAUUGUAACUAUAGCAGCAUCUACUACAAGGUUUAAGGAGAAAGAGCUUAAUCAGACACCCACUUGGGUUGUUGAAACUAUUUGUGCAAUUAUCAUUCUCGUUUCUACUCUCUUGGCAAAGAAUCUUCACAAACUUGGAGUAUUACUGCAUUUACAUAUGCUCUUAAUAUAGUUCCAAUGCAAUUGAAUUUAAUGGACUUUGUUGUAUCUUUGUUUAUGCAUGCUCAAAUUGCCCAACCGAACAUUUGUUUGUUCUUUUAGUGUUGCUUUCCUUGAGUUGUUCUAUUGAUACUUUAUGGAAUUUCACAUCUGUGGUAGCUUACGAAGAGGUACAAGUGAGCUCUAAAGCCCUUGAGAAGGUCAAAGCUGGUAAUCAAGAUUCUUUAGUUUUCAUUGAUUAAGAUACAUAGUUAUUUAGUUUCGUAUAUUAAUUAAUGUAUUAGUUCUAGAUUAAGCAUAUGACAACUUUAGAGAAUAGAGUUGACAAUUAAUGAUUAAGCUUACAUGUGAAUUAGGAAUCCAUGAUCAUAAAUUGUGCUGAUAUCUGAUUAUUUUUUGUUUAUAUUUGUAGAAAAUUUGUUUAAUCAUAAAGUCUUCUAGCAUAACUGAAAAUCCAACCCCAUAGUUGGAAGCUUGUGAAAAAUGUUUCAACUAUUAUAAGAUCUUAUGAAGUUCACGUACAGGAAAAAAAUUGAAUCAUAAGUUUUGAAAGUGCAAAUGAUGCAAGGCUUUUUGAAUGGAUUUAAGAUCGAAAGAGAAGUGAAUCUAAUAACUUUCAAUGAAUGGAAGAUCCAAAUAGUAGUGAGAAUAAAAUUGAUGUCUUAUUAGAGUCUACAAGUUUAGGCAUCAAAUGGAAUGUUUCUCUCUUAAAUUUCAAUUGUUUCAGAAAAAACUUUAAUGAAGACAACAUUGUGAAGAUCAAAGGCAAUUGAUGAAGGAUGAAUUAAGAAAAUGACAGCAAGCUUUAUUGUAAAAUAUGUCCCAUAAUUAAUUGUAUCUAUAUUAGUAUGUAUUACAAUUAAGUGUUAUAUUUAAUUCAUGUAUUCAUAUUUUUUAUUUUAUUAAAGCCUAUAAUGAAAUGUUACAAUUUGAGUGUGGAAAUUUUUGUUACAAGGUGGAAGAACGAAAUGUUCAAGUUCACCACAGCUGUAUAAUCAAGAUGCAAGGCCUAGCACUAUAAAUCCUUACUGAAUCUUAGAAACCUGGUUCACGAAACUAUUAUUAUUGAAAUCCUAAAAUUUCAGUGUGUACAAGC
rnacentral:lncRNA from 1 species